GAUGAACGCUGGCGGCGUGCCUAAUACAUGCAAGUCGAGCGAACAGACGAGGAGCUUGCUCCUCUGACGUUAGCGGCGGACGGGUGAGUAACACGUGGAUAACCUACCUAUAAGACUGGGAUAACUUCGGGAAACCGGAGCUAAUACCGGAUAAUAUACUGAACCGCAUGGUUCAAUAGUGAAAGACGGUUUUGCUGUCACUUAUAGAUGGAUCCGCGCCGCAUUAGCUAGUUGGUAAGGUAACGGCUUACCAAGGCAACGAUAUGUUGCCGACCUGUGAGGGAGUUCGGCCACCCGCGAACAGAGACCCGGCCCAGACACCUUCGGGAGCAGCCCGUACCCAAUCUUCCGCCACAGGCGAAGGCUUAGCAGAGCAACCCCGCGUAUGUGUUCCUGGUCCUCCGACCGUAAAGCUCUGUUAUCCGGGAAGAACAAAUGUCUAAGUAACUACGCACGUCUUGACGGUCCCUAAUCAGCCAGCCACGGCUCACUUCGUG
rnacentral:rRNA from 1 species